rnacentral:tRNA from 1 species
UGGAAGAUGGCUCAGUGGUUAAGAGCACUGGCUGUUCUUCCAGAGGACCUGGGUUCAAUUCCCAGCAUGCCUG